rnacentral:tRNA from 1 species
GCCCAGAUAGCUCAGUUGGCAGAGCAUCAGACUUUUAAUCUGAGGGUCCAGGGUUCAAGUCCCUGUUUGGGCA